CCUACGGUGUGCAGCAGUGGGGGAUAUUGCACAAUGGGGGAAACCCUGAUGCAGCGACGCCGCGUGGGUGAAGAAGUAUUUCGGUAUGUAAAGCCCUAUCAGCAGGGAAGACAGAAGACGGUACCUGACUAAGAAGCCCCGGCUAACUACGUGCCAGCAGCCGCGGGAAUACGUAGGGGGCGAGCGUUAUCCUGUUUCACUGGGUGUAAAGGGAGCGUAGACGGCCGUGCAAGCCAGGAGUGAAAGCCCGGGGCCCAACCCCGGGACUGCUGUUGGAACGGUGCGGCUGGAGUGCGGGAGGGGCAGGCGGAAUUCCUGGUGUAGCGGGGAAAUGCGUAGAUAUCACGCAGAACUCCGAGUGCGAAGGCAGCAUACCGGCGCUCAACUGACGCUCAUGCACGAAAGUGUGGGUAUCGAACAGGAUUAGAUACCCUAGUAGUC
rnacentral:rRNA from 1 species